rnacentral:lncRNA from 1 species
AAAGAGAAAAUAAUACAAAUAAACCAUAGAGAAGAAAAUUCAAGAGAAAUUUGUUGAAUUUCAAAGAACAAAGCAAUCAAAGGUAAGAUUUUUCAAUUUUAGCUUAAGAUCUACCUUUCCCAUGCUUUCUUUUUCAAUUUCUAUGGAUGAAACACAAGUUUCCAUGAGGGAAUACUUGCUGGCCGAACAUAGGGAGAGAGGUUUUGAUGGUGGAUUUUGCUAGAUUUCAUGAUAUCUUAGUGUUUUUAGUUGUUUGAUGAUGUUUGGCAUGAAAAACAAGCAAGAAAAUCACACGCCUUUCAACAACCCUCUUUGGCUAAAUUUUAUAGAUGACAUGUUGAUUAUGGAUUUGAUUCCUAAUGAUGUAGAUGGAUUUAUUAGACUGUGUUAACACUGAUUAGCACUUUAGUUCAGAAUCGGAAUGAAUUUCGGUUAUGAUGAAUUAAGUCACAAUCAAGCUCAUUGAGGUACUUUAGUGUAUUUGAAAUAUUGGAAGUGUAAUGAAUGUAUUUGAAGUUGAAUUAGAUGUUUUGGUUAAUUCAACAGUGUAUAGUUUGAGUUAGGUCGAAUACAAAUUCAGUCCGAUCAUAAUUGAACCCACGUAGAACACCGUCCUUAAGUGAUUAUUUGAACAAUUCUCAUUCAAGUUCAUACAUUCAUAUAGAGCCUGAAAUAGUUUUAUAAUAGUUUGGCCAAAAUAUAUUGAAUUACGUGUCGUGUAUUAUGUAUAGGUGGUGAGCCCUCUGAUAAGGGUAAAGAUAUCGUACCCGAGGACCAAGAAUAUGAGUACUCCAAUCUCCCGUUAUUGUGAGUAAUCAAAUGUUCAUCUUAAUUAUCUAAAGUAGUUUAUAUUCGUUUCUAUGAUUUUAAAGAAUAAUGAACUUAAACCGUAGAUUUUUAUGUUUUAUAAGUUCAGUGAUGGUUAAAUGAAUAAGAUUUAUAAAUUGUUUUGCAAUUCAAUGAUGAUUUUGGAAAUUGAGUGAGUGGAGACUAUAUACUUGUGUUAUCUAUAUAUAUAUAUGGCUUGAAUUGAUGGCUUAUGACAAUGUGAUGGCAUGAAUGGCUGGAUUUGUGGUUUGUGGAUUAUAUAAACUAUUUUGUUUUACCUUGACAGGCUGGGUAAUAUUAUAUUAGCCAUGUCAUGCUGUCGAAAUCUUUAUUGAUUUGGUGGGUUAUUUGAUUAGCUUACUACAAUGGGUGGGUUUUUGUGGACCAGCCUAUUAGAGGGGCAUGGUAAACCCCGUUAUAUUUUACCUUAGUAGGAGAGGCGCGGAGGGUAUCUCCUAAGGUAAGUUUAGAGUUCACUUCACAUCGAACCACCACUUGAGGGUGAAACUCAGCCAACGCCAAGGAAUGGCUAUAUUUUAAAAGUAAAAACAUGUUUUAUGGGUGUAUGUCGUUUUAACAUCCUUGGCGGACUCGGUUGGAUGCCUAGGCCAAGGUGUCCCCGAGUAUAAGUUUUGGCACAAGCCAAGUUUUUAAGAAAAUCAUAAGCCUUGUUGAUUAUUUUGAUGAAAUGAAAUUGGUUUAUAUGAAUUGAAAUGAGUUUUGGAAUGUUAUGAAUUAUAUUAGGAUGGGAUGAUUUAACUGUCUCCAUAUACUCAGUUUUAGAUGUUAUAUAUGAACUUUGCUUAGUCAUUGGGUUUAUAAAACUCACCCUUUCUUUUUACCCAUUUCAGGCUCAGGACAGUCUGUAGACAGCCCAUUUUGUCGAGGGUUGCUUUUAGAUUGCAUCUUUAGAAAUCGAAGGUCUACAGUCUUGUAUAUUUUCGGUUAUAUUGGGGCCCACAUGUCAUUGUAGAAUAUUUUUGAAUACCUGGUUUAGUGUCCUAUUAUAUAUAUCAAUUUAUUUUACUCUUACGCUAUAGAAAUUGUUUAUGUAGG